rnacentral:rRNA from 1 species
UACAGAGGGUGCAAGCGUUGUUCGGAAUUAUUGGGCGUAAAGGGCGCGUAGGCGGUGCUGUAAGUCUGUAGUGAAAUCUCUGGGCUCAACUCAGAGUCUGCUAUAGAAACUGCAGUGCUAGAGUGUGGGAGAGGUGAGUGGAAUUCCUGGUGUAGCGGUGAAAUGCGUAGAUAUCGGGAGGAACACCUGUGGCGAAAGCGGCUCACUGGACCACAACUGACGCUGAGGCGCGAAAGCGUGGGGAGCGAACAGG